CUUUGUAUGCCAAGCAGAGGCGUGUUAUGGUGAUGUGGUAUGGAUAGUAGUCAACUGUGGUAUCCAGCUAAAGUCAUGGAUAAAGCUAGUGACCCAGCACAAUGGAAACGAAAUUUAUUUCAUCUGAAAGUUGGUGUGCAAGAUAAGAAGUGCGAUGAGUGUCCAGUACAGUAUGUGAAUCAGAGCACCAUGCGUAAUAUUAAUCAGGCCACAAAUAUGGUAUUGGAAG